rnacentral:rRNA from 1 species
GGGAGAGUAACGCCAGGGGACCUGCCUGAUGUUUUUUUUUAACUACUGGAAACGGUAGCUAAUACCGCAUAACGUCGCAAGACCAAAGAGGGGGACCUUCGGGCCUCUUGCCAUCAGAUGUGCCCAGAUGGGAUUAGCUAGUAGGUGGGGUAAUGGCUCACCUAGGCGACGAUCCCUAGCUGGUCUGAGAGGAUGACCAGCCACACUGGAACUGAGACACGGUCCAGACUCCUACGGGAGGCAGCAGUGGGGAAUAUUGCACAAUGGGCGCAAGCCUGAUGCAGCCAUGCCGCGUGUGUGAAGAAGGCCUUCGGGUUGUAAAGCACUUUCAGCGAGGAGGAAGGUGGUGAGCUUAAUACGCUCAUCAAUUGACGUUACUCGCAGAAGAAGCACCGGCUAACUCCGUGCCAGCAGCCGCGGUAAUACGGAGGGUGCAAGCGUUAAUCGGAAUUACUGGGCGUAAAGCGCACGCAGGCGGUUUGUUAAGUCAGAUGUGAAAUCCCCGGGCUCAACCUGGGAACUGCAUUUGAAACUGGCAAGCUAGAGUCUCGUAGAGGGGGGUAGAAUUCCAGGUGUAGCGGUGAAAUGCGUAGAGAUCUGGAGGAAUACCGGUGGCGAA